rnacentral:rRNA from 1 species
ACAUACCCAACCUGCCGUCUACUCUUGGACAGCCUUCUGAAAGGAAGAUUAAUACAAGAUGGCAUCAUGAGUCCGCAUGUUCACAUGAUUAAAGGUAUUCCGGUAGACGAUGGGGAUGCGUUCCAUUAGAUAGUAGGCGGGGUAACGGCCCACCUAGUCUUCGAUGGAUAGGGGUUCUGAGAGGAAGGUCCCCCACAUUGGAACUGAGACACGGUCCAA